rnacentral:pre_miRNA from 2 species
UUUACUGUUCUUCCACAGCUUUCUUGAACUGCAUAUGGUUCUUGAUCUGAUCUUACUCAUUUCGAAUUCAAUUUUUGUGGUUCAAUAAAGCUGUGGGAAGACAGAGAAA